rnacentral:rRNA from 1 species
UACGUAGGGUGCAAGCGUUAAUCGGAAUUACUGGGCGUAAAGCGUGCGCAGGCGGUUGUGCAAGACCGAUGUGAAAUCCCCGGGCUUAACCUGGGAAUGGCAUUGGUGACUGCACGGCUAGAGUGUGUCAGAGGGGGUAGAAUUCCACGUGUAGCAGUGAAAUGCGUAGAGAUGUGGAGGAAUACCGAUGGCGAAGGCAGCCCCCCUGGG